GGACCUGACAGACCAGCAUCAACACAUCUUUUCAGAUAAGUUAUCGGCAAAUACAACAAAGCCUUCCCAAAGUUAGGCUAUAUAUCUUUGGAUUAUGAAUUUCUUGAGAGGUACAUAGAAGAAGAGGAAGGUUACGAGGGAAAAAAGAGAAAAAAAAAAAAUUUUGAAGUAAAAGAAGCUAAAUUGGUUUCUUCGCUGUCCCUAUCAUUUUCCUUUGCCUCAACAAAUACAUAAUCCAAACAUGGUGUUACAGAUUUUGAGAAUAUUUUCAGCAUGAUAAGCUUUAUCAUACUUUUAACAGACAAAAUCAGACAAUAACUAGAGUACCAAGUACGAGGAACAAGUGCUGAGUGUUAAUUAACUAGUAAUCUCCUAUUUAAGAUGGAAGCUUUGAUACUUGGUUAGAUGCAUCAUUUGUUAUACAUAUAUUUGAGGAAGAAAUAUACUACCAUUGCAGCCACGACACACUAUUGACGAUAAGCCGAGGGAGUGGCAUUAAUCCUUGUAGCUCUAUCAUUUGUGAACUCCUUUUUAGCACAAGCACAAGAAGUCGCAGCACAAAACAGUUUCUCCUCAUUACUGCUUUCAAGAAAUCUGUGGAACUCCCCAUGCUAGAUUUCCUCCUCCCAGUCUCUGGCACCAACUACGACAUUACUCAAUUGCCCUUGUGGAUUGAGGCAUAUGUAACAAUAGAGAAAGAAAUCCCUUCAGAUGACCAAAAGCUUUGCCAACUCAUCUGGUUCAAACCCAGUGGCACGGAUGUACAAUUUAGGCUCAAACAGCUGGCUUUGGCUUGGAGCUUCAAUUUCAUCCUCAUUUCUCAAAUUUCUUUGCUCAUUGGCCUUCUUACAAGAAACUGCAUUAAGCCUGUUGAUCACAACACUAACAUGAGAUUCUUAUACAAGCCAAAAUCAGCUCUAAACGUGUAACCAUAUGCGUCUCCAAAACUACGACUGCAGCAGCAGCUUUUAUGUGGAGCCAGGUUCAUCAUUUUAUAAUGGGGAAAGAGAAUCGGAAAAUUUUUCUCAGCAGUCCCUUUCGCAAAAAAACAAAGCUUUAUUAUGGUGAAAGGCCUAGUAUCAAGUGUGAGACACUGUUCAUUCCACUUUUCAUUAUUUUUUUUAACCUAACCACGGAGAAUUCGUUCAAAUGCAUCACUCACGUGUCCAUAAAUCCCAGAGCAUUGUUCCACAUAUACGAAUGAACUUCAGGGAGAAACUAGGAAGGUAAUUACGAUGGCAUCAGUUCUCAAAGGAUAAAAGGGUACUCUUACAAGCAACCCUUCUGGAUACAUCAAUUUUACAAGGAUGUAAUAUGUAUUAGUUCUGGAUUGAUCGUUUUCAUUUUCCAACAUAUAUCUCCUGCUGAAAAUUCUUCGCCUUGACAAUCAUUGACCUCUCAUAAUUUUCAUUUAUCAUGGCCAACAUUCUCAACUUCUGUCCUAAUUCAGGAAAGUUCUAUUCACCGCCAGAAUAAUGAGUUGGUGGCCUACCGUAAUUAAAAUUUUCCUCAUGGGUACUAUCCUUAGAGUGAUGAUUAAAAUCAACCACCUCCUCUUAUAUACGUUUUAUAUGCUUGUUCUGUUUACCAUGCAUUACUAUUAACUAGACCACCAACUAUACGACUACUUGGUAGCAAAAGUAGGUCUAUUUAUUAUUUUUUUCCAAAAUGCAGAAUUGCCACAACAGUGCAAAGGAUCUACCAUUGGGUUCUUGUUAGUGGUCCAAAGAAUAUGAGGCAAGACGUUGCAGCAAUCUGCUCGUCCCAUGAGUCAGAUAACCUACAUUUCAAAUCAAUCAGCUUUAGCUGGUGAGAAGAGGGGAAAGCUUUUUCAAUGUGUUCUUCCACAGAUGCCCCAAAAGCUACAAAAAGAGAGGGGUUUCAAAAGCUAUCAAUGUUUUGUAGUCAUAACAAACAAGUUUUAAGUAUAGAUCAUAUUCCACAUAACACAGGAAAAAUCAAUGAAAAAGAGAGCGUCAAAAAUCAAAUUGCAACAACUCAUCGAGACAAGCCGUUCUCCACACAUAUGACAGCCAAAACAAGUGAAGGGAUAUAUAAUAUAUUGAAAACCAUAUACCAAAAGCUUUCACCAAUCCAAAUUAUCCAUGGAAAAAUCUGGAAUCUACAUGAAGCAAUAACCAAACCAAUUAUGCCUUCUCUACAUCACCAAUUAGUGACUUGCAUAUAUCAAAGGGAACAAACUCUGCUAUAGAUUCUCUCAACCCAUAGACGGCAAGUGGGAGCAGGCAUACAUGAAUGUAAUAUCAUUCUUUCUCUCUCUUUGCGUGUUUGUGUGUGCUUACGUGCAUGAGAGAGAAAGAGAGCUGUGUAUAAGAACAAGGACAAUAAUCUCAGAAAUGGUACCUCUCUUAUCCUCCUCGUGAUUUGUCUGUAGUAGCUAGAGAAAGCAUCAGCAAAGCAAACUUCCAGAAAGAGGCUCUGUGCAAAAAUAAAACAAAAUAAAAUAAACCACAGUUAGCAGGAUUCAAAAAUGCCAAACCUAAGGAUGAAGUCUGCGAACAAUAUUGCUUGGAGUUCCUCAAGUCUGUUUCAUCAACUUGUGUUAUAGCACUUCGAAGCAAAUGAGUGACCAUUGCACCAUAAGUUAUCCCUUCCCAAAUCACGAAAGAAACAAUAUGAAUGCUUACAGAACUGAAAGCUUCUGCAAAUCUAUUAACUUUUGGUAUGCUGAUGCCAUGCCACAUUGGUAAAACCAUACCAAAAAGGUAGAAACAUCAGCAGUAAAAAUAUAAAAUUACCGAAGCACAAAGCUGAUUUUAGUGCUUGUACGGCCUUCGCAAUAAUGCAAAACGAAAGGACAAAAAUAGCAUACAAAAACAGCUGCAACUGCGCUGAAGCUACAUACAAGAAAUAUUUAACAACCAAGGAGAGCAUUUAAAGCGCCUUUGGUAAUGUCAUUACAGCAAAAAUGGCAGAGUUCGCCAAAGGAAAAAUCCCACAAGUCCAGGCCACUGGUAAAAAACAGACCGCGAAAGAGGAGUGACCUCAUGACAGCAACAAUGGCAGAGUUCGCCAAAGGAAAAAUCCCACAAGUCCAGGGUACGGGUAAAAAAAAGACCGAGAAAGAGGAGCUACAAUAAAACCAUUAGAAUCCCUCAACGAAAAUAGAAUGGUUAACAAUAACUUCCAGAAGCACUAAGCACUGCGACCUAGAAUAAGGCAGCUUAACAAUUCAAAAAAUAAUAA